rnacentral:other from 1 species
UUUCCCCUGCCGCGUUCGACACUGGUUGCAUUUUUUUGAACCAAUAAAUUUCGAACGGGGGUUGUCUUGAGCCGCGAGUUGCGCAGACCCGGCGUAAAAACCGGAGAGCCUGAAAGCGGAUGCCGAUAGCUCCCACCUGGUAAUCCAGGUUCAAAAAUAUGGGCUGGAACGGCGCAUGGCGGGGGGAGU